rnacentral:lncRNA from 1 species
CUUCUUUUAGAAUGGUGUUGUCUGAUCCAGCUUUUAUGUACCUCGACUAAUUCACUGGGCAUAUACUUCCAUCCACCUGCACGUUUAUCGGGUAACUUUACCACUCAUUAUGCAUAGCAUUGAAUAGAGUGGGUUUCCCUUUUAGGUAGAUGAGAAGAAAUCACCUAGUGUCUCUUCUACCAGGAUUCAGGUCUUGUUUCCCGAUAUUACCACUCCAACUUUUUGAUCGCUAGGCCACUCCCUCGAGAGCUCAGGUUUGGUAGUAAAUAGUUUGAAGAUAAAUGAGAGAUAUUUUGGAGAUUUUCUGCAUUUUUCGAGUUGUCACAGAGGCAACAGUUUCAGAAAUGUCAACAGAGAAUAUUGAUGGAAAAUCGGGUAAUUCCCCUCAUAUUCAUUGUUGGCUAAUGAAUCGUUUACAUCUGCUUGCUUAACGCUAUACAAUUGAUGUUUAUGUUAGUAACGAUGCCAACAAUUAGGCCAAAAUACUUGGCCUGUUAUGCAAGUUGCAAGUUCUUGAAAUGCACAGUUAUCGCCUUUCAUUGAAGUGAUGCUCCAUAUAGCUUGUUUGCUCACUGACAUGUUGGUUCCAAUGUGUCGUAGCCUCGAUUGGUUCCACCUUGAUCAAAGGGGAUAAAUACAUAUAUAUUUCUAAACCUUGAACUGUGUGUGUAUUAUUUAAGUCGAAAGCAGUGACUGCAAAGAAUCUAUACUGAAUGAUGUAUCAGAAGACAGCUAGCGGAAUAGCUAGGUCCAGUACUGAAUCUCGUCUUUGGCUUUAAGGAGUCUCGAAUUAUUGUUGUCAGCGAUAAUAUGUUGUGUAUUCCCAUCUGCUAAAAAAGAAUCGGAUGCACCAUUUGGCAGUAAGAAAUUGUUAUUCAAAUGAAAGUGAGACUCGUUCUGUCUUGCAGGAAAGCUCAUUCGCGAUGGCAAUGGCAAUGGUAAUGGGAAGUCUGGGAGUUGUAAAGAAGUAGCUCCAAAACUCAAGUCCCCGAGGUAACUUGCACCAAAACUUGGCCUUAAAUAUUCGCUUCCCAUGAAAUGCUUUCUUUCGAAUGGAAUUGGUAGAUCUUGAAAUUGCACUCUGAUAUUUGAAUCUUUGAGACUUUUUCGAGAUGUUGUUGUGCAAGGCUGUUGCCCGUUGUUCAACAUAGAUGCUGAACGAACGUUUCCUGAAACACCAUUCGUCUUGUUUGUUGAUGGCACUUCAUGGUUAUGUUUCCCUUCAUAUGUUGUGAUUACUGAUUUAAAGUCAUCUGCUGCCCUUUCGACAUGUUUCCUCACUAUGCAUCCAGCACUCGUACAUUUGUAGUAGCUCCUACACACGAAACAAUUCUUUAAACAUACCAACUGAGUUAAAGAGUUGUGUUUCUCGGACUCUUUCAAGAAAACAUAAAUUUGUCAACAUACAACUAAGCAUUUUAUACCUGGGGUUCGGGUUUCCUUUGACAACUUUCUGGCCAUAUUUUCUCCAGCGAUAGCCAUCUUCAAGAAUAUCAAUUUCACUCGCGACCUGUAGGACUACUUUUGGUUCUCUCACUGUUCUUGACAGAAAACUUGGUUCAGCUAAAUAACCGUCUUUCUUCCUGAGGUCAAUUCCACAACUUAAAUAAGUUAAAUAGAC